CCUACGGGUGGCUGCAGUGGGGAAUAUUGGACAAUGGGGGGAACCCUGAUCCAGCCAUGCCGCGUGUGUGAAGAAGGCCCUCGGGUUGUAAAGCACUUUCAGUGAGGAAGAACGCCUGGUGGUUAAUACCCAUCAGGAAAGACAUCACUCACAGAAGAAGCACCGGCUAACUCCGUGCCAGCAGCCGCGGUAAUACGGAGGGUGCGAGCGUUAAUCGGAAUUACUGGGCGUAAAGCGCGCGUAGGUGGCUUGAUAAGCCGGUUGUGAAAGCCCCGGGCUCAACCUGGGAACGGCAUCCGGAACUGUCAAGCUAGAGUGCAGAAGAGGAAGGUAGAAUUCCCGGUGUAGCGGUGAAAUGCGUAGAGAUCGGGAGGAAUACCAGUGGCGAAGGCGGCCUUCUGGACUGACACUGACACUGAGGUGCGAAAGCGUGGGUAGCAAACAGGAUUAGAUACCCGGGUAGUC
rnacentral:rRNA from 1 species